CCUGAUGGCUCAGUGGUAAAGAAUCUGCCUGCAAUGCAGGAGACCCGGGUUCGAACCCGGGGUCAGGA
rnacentral:tRNA from 1 species